UAGGGUACUAGGAGCACAAAUGCUCCAGUGUGAAACUGACUUCUCCUGGGGAUGGUAGGGCUUCCUCUGUGGUCCAGUAAUGGUGACGUCCCUAACUGGCAGCCUGGGCCCCAGCGUCAGGAGUUGGGCUCAUGGUGACACAAAGGCUCCUUGGAUGCAAGAGCACAAACACCUCAGUGUGAAGGUUUCCUCUGGAGAAGGAGCAUUUCACUAUCCAACAAAAUGUUUAUUCCAGGAUUUUGGUUGAUUUCAUUAAUCAGAAAAUGCAUUUUAGAAGAAAAUGAGUCUCUGAUCUCAGGAUUUGUCUGAUCUCUCACGAUUGGGAUGGCCCAUUCCUAGAGGGGGAGAAGACCUGGAAAACACUGCUAGACCAACUCAAAAUUACAAAGUUUUCCAGAGCUUAUAUGUCUUCUAAGCCAUAUGUCUAUGUCUGCAGGAAUGUAGACAAUUCAGAGGCUUUGUUCCCCAUAAUUUGGAACUUUUCUUCAGAUUUGACCAAGUCGGGUAGAGAUGAUCAAACCUAAUGGGAAAAAGACUGAAACAACAAAAACAGAAACAGGCAAACACAACCAGUAGCUCUGGUGGCCUUUACCUCAGGCUUUGAUGACAGACAGAGGAACCAACAAUCUAACCUGAUGCCUGCCUCUCCCCACGCCAGUGCUGAGGAGCUCCUGCAGAGAAAGCCUGCUCUUCCAGCCCUUGUAUUCAGGACAGGUGCCGGGUGGUCCCUCAAGACCCUUUUUCAGCAGUAAAUCCUACCUGCUUUCACUGAGUUCUCACUAAGUUUAUUUGGUUUAAUCUAGGUUGUCUGA
rnacentral:lncRNA from 1 species